rnacentral:lncRNA from 1 species
UAUUCAUUGAGAAUUGAGAGGAAUUCUUCAGCUGAGCUUCGAUUUUCUAGUACUCGACGGGCAGCCGGUGUAAAUGUAUUGAAAAGGAUAAGAUAUAUCCCAGAAUUAAUCGUAGAUAUAUAGGACCUGAAGCAAUCUAUUUAUACAACAUGCACUUAGAUUCAUCGAUAAAAAAUUUCAGGGGGCGGGAGGUUGCUGAUACGGCAUGCUUGAUGGAGGAAGCGGUGGCUGCAAGUUGACGUGAGCUUUGGCCGGAGGCGAUACCGAAGAAAUCGGCGAAAACGAAGAUGGAGGAGGUGGAGGGCUCGAAGAAGCUACCUCGGCCGAACGCUCGAACAAAGCAGGCGGAGGUGGAGUCGCUAUUACCCACUGGCGUCCGCGAUUGCCGACUGGCACGGGAGGAGAACGGGGUGACCGCCCCCUCUUGCUCUCAUUGUAUACACGGUCGCUCAUGACCCGAACAGCGCUGCCAGUUGAAAUGAGAGCAUAGAAUGCCAACAACAAUCCCAGGAGCGGUUUCAUGGUGGAGUUUCAAGGAAAAAAGCCAAUUGUAUUGAUU